rnacentral:rRNA from 1 species
UACGAAGGGGGCUAGCGUUGCUCGGAAUUACUGGGCGUAAAGGGCGCGUAGGCGGUUCUAUAAGUCAGGCGUGAAAUUCCUGGGCUUAACCUGGGGGCUGCGCUUGAGACUGUGGGACUUGAGGUCAGAAGAGGGUCGUGGAAUUCCCAGUGUAGAGGUGAAAUUCGUAGAUAUUGGGAAGAACACCGGUGGCGAAGGCGGCGACCUGGUCUGAUACUGACGCUGAGGAACGAAAGCCAGGGUAGCGAAAGGG